UCCUUCCUGCGAUGUACGAAGAUUUUUAUUUGGUUUUGAUCCUAUAUAGAUGACCGGGAGUUUAAUAAUCUUUCCUAGUAGGUCAAGCCCUUUUUAGGAAAGGGAAGACUGAACUGUAAAGUGAAGACGCCCACCUGCGAGAGCAGGGUCAGAAACCAAAUAGUCCAACGGCAUUGUGGGGUCA
rnacentral:other from 1 species